AAAGAACGGCCCGUGUUUAUAACAAGAAAGUAUGCCCCAGGAAUUUUGAUGUUGGCCAGCUUGUAUUAAGGUGAAAUCUUCCUCACCAUCAAGAAGUAAAAGAGAAAUUUCCUCCUGAUUGGUAAGGCUCGUGCAUUAUCAAAAAUAUAUUGCCGAAAGGAGCAUUGUAUCUGGGAGACAUCGAAGGGGAUAAUCCAAAAGCAGCAGUGAAUGGAGACGUAUUAAAAAGGUACUAUGUCUAGGCUCCCUAUAGCAACGAUUCCGUCCGGUUGAGAUAAUGAAGGCUUUCUACCCAAACACUAUCAAUCCCUUGGUAAACCCAUUUAAGUUGGUUACUCUUCUUUGACUUCCCUCUUUGGAACCUGGAAAUGUUAUUCAAAAAAAA
rnacentral:lncRNA from 1 species